AACGAACGCUGGCGGCAGGCUUAACACAUGCAAGUCGAACGCAUCCUUCGGGGUGAGUGGCAGACGGGUGAGUAACGCGUGGGAACGUGCCCUUCAGUUCGGGAUAACCCAGGGAAACUUGGGCUAAUACCGGAUACGUGCGAGAGCAGAAAGAUUUAUCGCUGAAGGAUCGGCCCGCGUCUGAUUAGCUAGUUGGUGGGGUAAUGGCCCACCAAGGCGACGAUCAGUGGCUGGGCUGAGAGGAUGAUCAGCCACAUUGGGACUGAGACACGGCCCAAACUCCUACGGGAGGCAGCAGUGGGGAAUAUUGGACAAUGGGCGCAAGCCUGAUCCAGCCAUGCCGCGUGAGUGAUGAAGGCCUUAGGGUUGUAGAGCUCUUUCGUCCGGGACGAUAAUGACGGUACCGGAAGAAGAAGCCCCGGCUAACUUCGUGCCAGCCGCCGCCGUAA
rnacentral:rRNA from 1 species